rnacentral:rRNA from 1 species
CAUAAGCGCACAGAGCUGCAUGGCUCAGUGUGAAAAACUCCGGUGGUAUAAGAUGGACCCGCGUUGGAUUAGCUGGUUGGUGGGGUAACGGCCCACCAAGGCGACGAUCCAUAGCCGGCCUGAGAGGGUGAACGGCCACAUUGGGACUGAGACACGGCCCAGACUCCUACGGGAGGCAGCAGUGGGGAAUAUUGCACAAUGGGGGAAACCCUGAUGCAGCGACGCCGCGUGAAGGAAGAAGUAUCUCGGUAUGUAAACUUCUAUCAGCAGGGAAGAUAGUGACGGUACCUGACUAAGAAGCCCCGGCUAACUACGUGCCAGCAGCCGCGGUAAAACGUAGGUCACAAGCGUUGUCCGGAAUUACUGGGUGUAAAGGGAGCGCAGGCGGGAAGACAAGUUGGAAGUGAAAUCCAUGGGCUCAACCCAUUGAACUGCUUUCAAAACUGUUUUUCUUGAGUAGUGCAGAGGUAGGCGGAAUUCCCGGUGUAGC